rnacentral:rRNA from 1 species
CACGGGGGGAGCAAGCGUUGUUCGGAAUCACUGGGCGUAAAGGGCGUGUAGGCGGUCAGGUUAGUGAGAUGUGAAAUGCCCCGGCUCACCCGGGGACCUGCAUCUCAAACUGCUUGGCUUGAGUAUGGGAGAGGAUGAGGGAAUUCCUGGUGUAGCGGUGAAAUGCGUAGAUAUCAGGAGGAACACCGGUGGCGAAAGCGCUCAUCUGGCCCAAUACUGACGCUGAGGCGCGAAAGCUAGGGGAGCAAACGGG